rnacentral:rRNA from 1 species
CCUCGGGCGGCAGCAGUGGGGAAUAUUGGGCAAUGGACGCAAGUCUGACCCAGCAACGCCGAGUGAAGGAAGAAGGCUUUCGGGUUGUAAACUUCUUUUAAGGGGGAAGAGGAGAAGACGGUACCCCUUGAAUAAGCCACGGCUAACUACGUGCCAGCAGCCGCGGUAAUACGUAGGUGGCAAGCGUUGUCCGGAUUUACUGGGUGUAAAGGGCGUGCAGCCGGGCCGACAAGUCAGAUGUGAAAUCCGCGGGCUUAACCCGCGAACUGCAUUUGAAACUAUAGGUCUUGAGUGCCGGAGAGGAAAUCGGAAUUCCUUGUGUAGCGGGGAAAGGCGAAGAUAUAAGGAAGAACACCAGUGGCGAGGGCGGAUUACUGGACGGUAACUGAGGGUGGGGCGCGAAAGCGUGGGGAGCAAACAGGAUGAGAUACCCUGGUAGUC